GAAGGACUAUAGCUCAGUGGCAGAGCGUCUGUUUUGCUUGCAGAAGGUCUCAGGUUCAAUCUCCGGCAUCUUCA